CCGUUUGGUUGAAAAGGGGUUGAGCAACCCUAAUUGCCACCGAGAAAUUUUCUCUCUCUCUCUCUCUCUCUCUCACACCCCCACAUACACAUACACACACACACACACAAUCAUCGUUGCCAUUUCAGGCAAGUGCAGAAUGGUACAAUGCUUUUCAGAGCUUGUACAACUAGUUUGUGUAAGCAUUAAUUGCUUCUCACCUCUCUCCACUGCGUCCCACCAGAGAAGAGGUAAAAUUGACCCUCUCGCUUACUUUUCCUGAAAUCUACAGUCAAUCAAGGACAUAUCCCUUAAUGGGAUUUGUGUCGUUGCUAUUUUGAAUACUCAAUUCUCUUUGGAUUGUAAAUAUACAAGCGGAUUCAAGAAUCCUUUGCAAAUUCGUUUAUCCCACAUCAAAAUUGAACCAACUUUGAGGGUUUUUGGGGUUCUAUAUAUAGAACCCUACUCUCAACACAACACACACACACACACAAAAGUCUCGAAUACACAGAGCAAAAUCACCCGAUUUACCUAGGGAUUUAGCAUAUUUACUGAAACCUUUAACUAGUUGGGUUUUCUAGUGUAAAAAUUGUUUUUUUUUUGUGGAUGAGUUGGGGCAUGGAGGAGCAAGGAUCUUCAACUUCCAAUCUCGAAAAAGGUUAGCACUUGAAAAAGGGUUGAGGAAGCAAAGGAUCUCCAAGAUUCAAUCUCGACCAUAGGCAGCACGCAAAAAAGGUGCACAGGGAGACAGACUUGAUCCAUAGCUGCCUAUUCGGAGAUUUCAUAGGAAGCUCCAUUUCCUUCGGAGCCAUAUCUUUUGGGUACUCAUUCUUUGUGUAUAUAAUUAUGGGCAUAGCGGGGUCCUGUCCCGCUAAUGUGAUAUGUUAUACUCUUAGAGGCUCGUAGACAUGUGAGUGUGUGUGGGUAGAUGUGUUUGGCCUUGUCGGCCUAUGUUUUGUAUAUCAUUUUGUCGGCCACGUCGGCCCAUGUACAUUGAUGUGACAUAGAUGCCUACGAUGAUAUAAAUGUGCUGUUGUCCAAA